UUAAAGUCCUUCCUACUG
rnacentral:tRNA from 1 species